rnacentral:lncRNA from 1 species
GCUCUGAUAUGGAGAUGGGGCCCUGAUAUGAAAUGGAGGGGAUAAAAUAAUGAUAUAGAUUGGUAGUUUUGUGAAUGAUUUGAAAAUAUAGGUUUAUAGUUGCAAUUAUUUAUCUAUGUUUUCUUUUCUUUUCAUUUUAUUUGGAAGGAGUGUACAAUCAUCAAAAUGGAUGAAAAUUACCUUUUGCGAGAUGAAAUGUGAAAAUAGGGAUGAAAAUGUCAAAAAAAUGAAAGGUGGGGGACAUUUUGCACAUUGACAUUGAAAUGUAAGGACCUAUUUAUCCUCCCAAAAUAUAUCAAAAUAGUUCUCAAAACUCCAUGGCAAAAGAUCAAUGCGCUUUAAUAGACUAAAAACCGUGUACAAAAAAAUUCAUAUCCACACGCCUAAAUAUGAAAAAACACGCACAUAUUAUAUGCAAAAACCAGUACUACAGCAGCGUUAAAAAAUCAAAUUUAGCUAAAAAUAAUACAAAUGUCCAAUAAAACGUACCGAGCACGAUCAAACAGACUUAACUGAGAGCGUCGCUUGAAAACGAAAAAGCUGAGAUAUCCAAGAGCGAAAAAGAAGCUUAAAAUAUAUAGAAAACCUAGAGAGAGAAAGCGUUUGAGUAAAGCAAAGCUCUCUGUGAGUACUGUGGUACGUUAUGCAUUCCCUGAUUCCCCCCCUGUUUGUGAUUCAUCCUCUGCCAUUUAAAGUUAAGAGGAAUAAUAAAAGGAAAAGUAGAAAAGAAAAUUCUCGCUGGUCGAAAUUAGCGGCAGAUUCUUUGACGGUGGGGGAAUAAGACGUAGUGGGGUCCAAUGUUUAAAAAAAAAAAAAGGUUAAACCCAGCCCCCACGGCCCCACCCCUAAAGUUUUGUGAGAGAGGUAAAUCGCAAAAUGUGGCCCAACAAAGUCAAGAAAUAAGAGUUGUCUCUACACUGCUCUUACAAGGAGUCCAAAUCACGGGAUGUUUAAUUGUAUGCGUGAUGGAGAAGGUGUGCGAUCGUCUAAUGGGAAGUUACCACAUCAUCGGUGGCCCGUUCUCAUGGUAAAGUCAACUUGGAACUUGAUUUUUUGCUUAUUUCUACCUCAAGUGAGUGAGGGUGAACCACUCGAUAUAGUGACAGCUCCUCAUUUGACAGUCACACCACGUAGGACGGGCUGUCCCAUUAAAGAUUUUCUCUGUCGUGGAGAGAAGAGGGGGGCCAGCGUUGUACCGAACUGAGACAAGGACGGAAUUUCUAACGGGUGUUGAAAGCUGCCGUUAGACACGUUAUGAAUAAAAUUGACGCGAUGCGAAUUUCCGGCUGCAAAGUGGAACCCAGCCACCGACCAAAAAAAUUUGGUCCCAUUUUUCGUUUCUUCCGUUCAUCUUGGAAAUUUAUAGCAUACGCGAA